AGUCGAACGAGGUAGCAAUACCUAGUGGCGCACGGGUGCGUAACGCGUAUGCAACUUACCUCUUACAGGGGGAUAACUCGGGGAAACUCGGGCUAAUACCGCGUAAUAAUUUAACUGGCAUCAGUAGAAUUUAAAAGCUAUGGCGGUAGGAGAUAGGCAUGCGUGUCAUUAGCUAGAUGGGGAGGUAAUGGCUCCCCAUGGCUACGAUGACUAGGGGUUCUGAGAGGAAGAUCCCCCACACUGGUACUGAGAUACGGACCAGACUUCUACGGGAGGCAGCAGUAAGGAAUAUUGGGCAAUGGGCGAGAGCCUGACCCAGCCAUGCCGCGUGCAGGAAGACGGCCCUCUGGGUUGUAAACUGCUUUUAUCAGGGAAGAAAAGAGGCUUGCGAGCCUAACUGACGGUACCUGAUGAAUAAGCACCGGCUAACUACGUGCCAGCAGCCGCGGUAAUACGUAGGGUGCAAGCGUUGUCCGGAUUUAUUGGGUUUAAAGGGUGCGUAGGUGGCUGAUUAAGUCAUGGGUGAAAGCCCGCAGCUCAACUGUGGAAUUGCCUGUGAUACUGAUUAGCUUGAGUGCGGUUGAGGCAGCUGGAAUUGGUGGUGUAGCGGUGAAAUGCAUA
rnacentral:rRNA from 1 species